rnacentral:sRNA from 1 species
UUUUAAGUAAAUGUGUAAAAUUUGUAUAGAAGUUAUUUUGGUAAGAAACAUGUUUCCUUUGUAUUAGAGGAUCUAAUUUUUGGCCUAACUUAGAAUUAGUUUUUGUAUAGUAUUUUGGUUAUAUUUGUGGACCUAAUUGGGGCCUAUAUUAGAUUAUCUUUAAUAGGGCUGACGAAAAAACGGACCCGAUAACCAACCCAAUACCCGAACCAAAAAAUCGGGUUAGGGCGGGUUAAAAUUUUAGGAAAUUUCCUUAUUGGGUAGAGUUUUACUAAACCCGUGGAUAUCCGAUUGGACCGGAAAUUACCCGUUAUCUAAAAAGAGUAUUCAAAAACCCAAACAUUAAUUUAAUAUCUAAAAUAUUAAUUAUAUGAUAUUAUUUUAUUUGAUUUUAAAUAUAUAGUAAACUGCGAGUUGUAUAUGUUUUCUUGAUAUUAUUUAUAUUGUUUAGUGUUUAAAAUUAUACACUUGUAUUUUGAUUGUUAAUUUUAGAGUUUCACCUGUAGUAUACCAUCUUAUAUUAAUAUCGAUUUAAACCCGUCAAUUCUAGGAUUUUCCAGCUUGUAUUAAAAAUUGAAUCACAUCAUACACAUAAAAAAAUCUAAUAUGUUAUUAAUUAUUGUUGUAUAUAAGAUUAUAAAUUCUUAA